UUUUUAAAAAAAAUGUUUACGAUUUUCAAAAUUCUUAAGUGAACUUUGAAAAGCUGAAAUUUUAGGAGUUUCGAACGCUUUGCUGAUAUAUUUAAAAAGAUUUAGAAAAAAAUUGGAAAAUCUUUUAAUCAGCAACUCAUAAUGAGGCUGAUUUUUCGAAAUGUCUUUCAAAUUCCCCGGAUUCGUUCCGACGGUAUAGCAAAAGUGUGAUUGCUUUUAAACUUUUUUAUGAACCUGUUGAUUUUGUUUUUAAAAGUGGCAGAUGAUUUUCUUUCAACACGCGUUUGCACAAAGUUCAGUUCGAAAAUUUUCGAACUUCGAAUAUUUAUGGUAUUUUUACCGAAAAAAAUUCUAUGUUCGAAAUACGAAGUCUAAAACUUCCGAAGUUCGCUUGUUAUAUUAAAACAACUCUCACUAUUGUGCUUUUCUUAAGCUACUUUCGUGAAAUAACCAAUUUUUUAUACAUAUUUUCCGUGCUAAAACGCUUACUAAAAUUUCCGGAAAAACUUCAGUUAUAAAAAAUAAAAAGAUCUGAAGAGUUUGGAAAACUAAUUUUUUGAGGUUCUUUUCUCCGCUUAUGAAUUUAUCUACACUUUUAAGUUCAAACUGCACACAAAGCAACAAAAAAUGAGGCAUUAAAAAUGUAUUCGAAAUAUUUUUGUUUUGCUACAAAAGCGAGGAGAAAUUCUGUGCAAUAGUGUCUACGCGAAAAUGUGUAUCUCAGAAGAAAGUAUAAAUUUUUUGCAUAUAUUUUAUGAUAAAACUAAUUUUAAAAUGUAGUACAUACUUAUUUUAAGCAUUAAUAUUUUAAAUUAUUAUGCAUACUUACAAAAGAGUAGUUGAAAAUGAAAGCGAAAGUAUAGCAAAGUAAGAAAAGAUCCGAGUGCAAGAAGCAAAUUUGAUUGAUAAAGUACUUUGCUUUCUUUUUUUUGGCACGAAAAAUAAAUGAAUUUUUUAAUGAAAUGCAGCAGCUACAAUUGAAAUAAAGCGAGCACAUGCAAAUAGAUGGACAGGGGAGUACAGACGAAGAGAAGGGCAAAAAUCGGCAAGAAAUUGGAGAAAUAAAAAUGAAUCUUAAUAGAACUUAAACAGGAAAAUAGACCAAAAUUAAAGGAAAACCAUGUUGCAAUCACACCAUACAAGAGAGAAGAGAGGUGUUAGAAAAAGAAAUUAAAGGCGGCACCAACAAGAAAAAUGUUU